rnacentral:rRNA from 1 species
CCUGUUUAUCAAAAACAUCGCCUCUUGGUUACCAUAAGAGGUCCAGCCUGCCCAGUGACAUCAGUUCAACGGCCGCGGUAUUCUGACCGUGCAAAGGUAGCGUAAUCACUUGUUUUUUAAAUAAAGACUAGUAUGAAAGGCUCCACGAGAGUCAAACUGUCUCCUCUUUCUAAUCAGUGAAACUAAUCCCCCCGUGAAGAAGCGAGGAUUUUUUUAUAAGACGAGAAGACCCUGUGGAGCUUCAGACAAAAUAAUAUUGCUUUCUUCCCUACCACUUUAAGAAAAAUACUAACUAGCACUUUAAUUAUUAAGUCUUAGGUUGGGGCGACCACGGAGUAAAAAUCACCCUCCACGCUGAACAGCAUCCUCCUUAAACAAAGAGCCACAACUCUAACUAUCAAUAAAUUGACACAUUUGACCCAAUUACUUGACCAACGAAACAAGUUACCCCAGGGAUAACAGCGCAAUCCACUUCAAGAGCCCUUAUCAACAAGUGGGUUUACGACCUCGAUGUUGGAUCAGGGUAUCCCAGUGGUGCAGCCGCUACUAAAGGUUUGUUUGUUCAACAAUUAAAACCCUACGUGAUCUGAGU